rnacentral:rRNA from 1 species
UUGAAGGGCUGCAGUAUAUUGACUGUACAAAGGUAGCAUAAUCAUUAGUCAUUUAAUUGAUGACUUGUAUGAAAGAUUGGAUGAAAUAUAAUCUGUCUCUUAAUUAAUAGUAGAAUUUAAUUUUUUAAUUAAAAAGUUAAAAUAGUUUAAAAAGACGAGAAGACCCUAUAGAGUUUUAUAAUUAAAUUAAUUAAGAUUAUUUAAUAAUAUAAAAUUAAAAUUAAUUUAUUUAUUAUAUUGGGGUGAUAGAAAAAUAUAAUUAACUUUUUAUAUAAGUAAACAUUUAUAAGUGAUUAAAUGAUCCAAUAUUAUUGAUUAUAAGAAAAAAUUACCUUAGGGAUAACAGCGUAAUUUUUUUUUUUAGUUCAUAUAAAAAAAAGAGUUUGCGACCUCGAUGUUGGAUUAAGAUAAAAUUUAAAUGCAGAAG